GACGAACGCUGGCGGCGUGCCUUAUACAUGCAAGUUGAGCGCUGAAGGUUGGUACUUGUACCGACUGGAUGAGCAGCGAACGGGUGAGUAACGCGUGGGGAAUCUGCCUUUGAGCGGGGGACAACAUUUGGAAACGAAUGCUAAUACCGCAUAAAAACUUUAAACACAAGUUUUAAGUUUGAAAGAUGCAAUUGCAUCACUCAAAGAUGAUCCCGCGUUGUAUUAGCUAGUUGGUGAGGUAAAGGCUCACCAAGGCGAUGAUACAUAGCCGACCUGAGAGGGUGAUCGGCCACAUUGGGACUGAGACACGGCCCAAACUCCUACGGGAGGCAGCAGUAGGGAAUCUUCGGCAAUGGACGAAAGUCUGACCGAGCAGCGCCGCGGGAGUGAAGAAGGUUUUCGGAUCGUAAAACUCUGUUGGUAGAGAAGAACGUUGGUGAGAGUGGAAAGCUCAUCAAGUGACGGUAACUACCCAGAAAGGGACGGCUAACUACGUG
rnacentral:rRNA from 1 species